GACGAACGCUGGCGGCGUGUUUAACACAUGCAAGUCGAACGGGAACCUUUAUUUCGGUAAAGGAGAGAGUGGCAAACGGGUGAGUAACACGUAGGCAACCUGCCGACAGGAUGGGGACAACAUUCCGAAAGGAAUGCUAAUACCGAAUGGAGUCCGAGGAUGGCAUCAUCCUUGGAUCAAAGAUGGCCUCUUAACAAUGCUAUCGCCUGUCGAUGGGCCUGCGUCUGAUUAGCCAGUUGGCGGGGUAACGGCCCACCAAAGCGACGAUCAGUAGCCGGUCUGAGAGGAUGAACGGCCACAUUGGGACUGAGACACGGCCCAGACUCCUACGGGAGGCAGCAGUGGGGAAUCUUCCACAAUGGGCGAAAGCCUGAUGGAGCAACGCCGCGUGAGUGAAGAAGGUCUUCGGAUCGUAAAGCUCUGUUGCACGGGACGAAAAACUGGGUUUGAAAAACA
rnacentral:rRNA from 1 species